rnacentral:rRNA from 1 species
UGAGGAAUAUUGCACAAUGGGCGCAAGCCUGAUGCAGCAACGCCGCGUGCGGGACGAAGGCCUUCGGGUCGUAAACCGCUUUUCUGGGGGAAGAGCAAGGACGGUACCUCAGGAAUAAGUCUCAGCUAACUACGUGCCAGCAGCCGCGGUAAAACGUAGGAGGCGAGCGUUAUCCGGAUUUACUGGGCGUAAAGCGCGUGCAGGCGGAUUGGAGAGUUGGAUGUGAAAGCUCCCGGCCUAACUGGGAGAGGUCGUUCAAUACUUCCAGUCUUGAGUGCAGUAGAGGGAAGUGGAAUUCCGGGUGUAGUGGUGAAAUGCGUAGAUAUCCGGAGGAACACCAGUGGCGAAAGCGGCUUCCUGGACUGUAACUGACGCUCAGACGCGAAAGCUAGGGUAGCAAACG